AGAGUUUGAUCCUGGCUCAGGACGAACGCUGGCGGCGUGCCUAAUACAUGCAAGUCGAGCGAGCGAGAUGAACGGAAUACUUCGGUAGGAAGUUCAGAUUGCGAGCGGCGGAUGGGUGAGUAACACGUAGGCAAUCUACCCUUAAGCGGGGGAUAACACCUGGAAACAGGUGCUAAUACCGCAUAAAACUAAGGACGCCUGUUCUAAAGUUAAAAGACGGUGAGAGCUGUCACUUAAGGAUGAGCCUGCGGCGUAUUAGCUAGUUGGCAAGGUAAGAGCUUACCAAGGCGAUGAUACGUAGCCGACCUGAGAGGGUAAUCGGCCACAUUGGGACUGAGACACGGCCCAAACUCCUACGGGAGGCAGCAGUAGGGAAUCUUCCACAAUGGACGCAAGUCUGAUGGAGCAACGCCGCGUGGAUGAAGAAGGUCUUCGGAUCGUAAAAUCCUGUUGUUGAAGAAGAACGUAUGUGAGAGUAACUGCUCAGAUAGUGACGGUAUUCAACCAGAAAGUCACGGCUAACUACGUGCCAGCAGCCGCGGUAAUACGUAGGUGGCAAGCGUUG
rnacentral:rRNA from 2 species